rnacentral:rRNA from 1 species
CCUACGGGAGACAGCAGUGGGGAAUAUUGGGCAAUGGGCGCAAGCCUGACCCAGCAACGCCGCGUGAAGGAAGAAGGCUCUCGGGUUGUAAACUUCUUUUAUCAGGGACGAAGCAAGUGACGGUACCUGAUGAAUAAGCCACGGCUAACUACGUGCCAGCAGCCGCGGUAAUACGUAGGUGGCAAGCGUUAUCCGGAUUUACUGGGUGUAAAGGGCGUGUAGGCGGGAAAGCAAGUCAGAUGUGAAAACCAUGGGCUCAACCUGUGGCCUGCAUUUGAAACUGUUUCCCUUGAGUAUCGGAGAGGUCAUCGGAAUUCCUAGUGUAGCGGUGAAAUGCGUAGAUAUUAGGAAGAACACCAGUGGCGAAGGCGGAUGACUGGACGACAACUGACGGUGAGGCGCGAAAGCGUGGGGAGCAAACAGGAUUAGAUACCCGGGUAGUC